rnacentral:lncRNA from 1 species
AGAUGGCCAGCAUGCUCUGAGCCAGCGCAGGCCAGGGACCUCUGGGGCUGGGACUGCCCUGGGGCCAGGCAAAGAACCAGUGUUCCUCCACUGCCAGGGAGGACUGCGCAGGGACCUGACUCACGGCAGACACCGACCCCCACGCCAGCAAGUUCACUCUGGUGGCAACGCAGAGAACCUGAAGAUGGCAGACAAGUUAGAGCAGCUGCACCAGUCUUACAGAGGCAGGGAGAGGCCCCGAACCAGAGAGCGGGUGCGGACCCUUGGCAAGUAUGCCUUGGAAGUGUUGAGGGGAGAAGGCGUCAAGUCGUGGUCCCGCCAACAGAGAGGCCUGUCUAACUGACUCAGCAGCCCCUCUGCCUCCAGCUCCCUGUGUCUGGACCCCAGGCCACAGGACGGGGGCAGGAGUGGGACAGGCACCCGGGUUCUGCAUGUAUGGCCUGUGCCACCUUCAAAGCAGCCCUGACGGACCUCCCAACUAGGCCAGAGAUUGCUCCAUUGGUCAUCAGUGCUGUUCCUGAAACGGCUUCACCAGUCAUGGGGACCUAAGUCCCUCUAGCUGGAGAUGAGACACCGAUACACCGCAGACACCAUCUGCUCUCCAGACACAGGCCACUUCCUGGACAUUGCCUGCUGCCUGGACACUGCCCGCUGCCUGGACACUGCCUGCUGCCGGAACACUGCCUGCUGCCUGGACACUACCCGCUGUCUGCUGCCUGGACACUGCUCGCUGCCCAGACAAAGGCCGGCUGCAGAGGCCAGCAGAGCAGCAGAGCCAGGCGAGGCAAGACGGCAGAGGGAGGCCAGGGGGAAUGACAACAGGCUCCAGGGUGAAGCCACCACCAAGUGAUCAGGAUCAAUAACUGUGGUCCACAGAAAGUGCGGAUCCCACCUCUCGGGAGCAUCUCAUCCCUUCCACUCCUGCGGAAGAGGACAGCACCCCCCAACCCCAAAGUGCCUGUGUUUCCUAGCACCCUGGGAUUCCAGCUCGUCAGCUAAGAACUGGCCAUGCUGAUGAAAUCUCCUU